GGGUGUGUGUGGUGCCAGCAGCCACGGUAAUUCCAGCUCCAAUAGCAAAUAUUAAAGUUGUUGCAC
rnacentral:rRNA from 1 species